GGGGUAAUGGCCUACCAAGGCGUCGACGGGUAGCCGGCCUGAGAGGGUGUACGGCCACAUUGGGACUGAGAUACGGCCCAGACUCCUACGGGAGGCAGCAGUGGGGAAUAUUGCACAAUGGGCGCAAGCCUGAUGCAGCGACGCCGCGUGGGGGAUGACGGCCUUCGGGUUGUAAACUCCUUUCGCCAGGGACGAAGCGUAAGUGACGGUACCUGGAUAAGAAGCACCGGCUAACUACGUGCCAGCAGCCGCGGUAAUACGUAGGGUGCGAGCGUUGUCCGGAAUUACUGGGCGUAAAGAGCUCGUAGGUGGUUUGUCGCGUCGUUUGUGUAAUACCGCAGCUUAACUGCGGGGUUGCAGGCGAUACGGGCAUAACUUGAGUGCUGUAGGGGAGACUGGAAUUCCUGGUGUAGCGGUGGAAUGCGCAGAUAUCAGGAGGAACACCGAUGGCGAAGGCAG
rnacentral:rRNA from 1 species